rnacentral:rRNA from 1 species
CCUACGGGAGGCAGCAGUGGGGAAUAUUGCACAAUGGGCGAAAGCCUGAUGCAGCGACGCCGCGUGAGGGAUGACGGCCUUCGGGUUGUAAACCUCUUUCAGCAGGGAAGAAGCGAAAGUGACGGUACCUGCAGAAGAAGCGCCGGCUAACUACGUGCCAGCAGCCGCGGUAAUACGUAGGGCGCAAGCGUUGUCCGGAAUUAUUGGGCGUAAAGAGCUCGUAGGCGGCUUGUCACGUCGGGUGUGAAAGCCCGGGGCUUAACCCCGGGUCUGCAUUCGAUACGGGCUAGCUAGAGUGUGGUAGGGGAGAUCGGAAUUCCUGGUGUAGCGGUGAAAUGCGCAGAUAUCAGGAGGAACACCGGUGGCGAAGGCGGAUCUCUGGGCCAUUACUGACGCUGAGGAGCGAAAGCGUGGGGAGCGAACAGGAUUAGAUACCCUGGUAGUCCACGCCGUAAACGGUGGGAACUAGGUGUUGGCGACAUUCCCACGUCGUCGGUCGCCGCACGCUAACGACACUUAACGUUACCCCGUCCCGUCGGGGUACGGUACCGGCCGGCCGAACGGACGUAAACCUAACGAAACGGAAGUUAGACGGCGUGAGACGUCGACCGAACGGACGACGACGAGGGAGGUAGG